GAUGAACGCUGGCGGCGUGCCUAAUACAUGCAAGUCGAGCGAACAGACGAGGAGCUUGCUCCUCUGACGUUAGCGGCGGACGGGUGAGUAACACGUGGAUAACCUCCCUAUAAGACUGGGAUAACUUCGGGAAACCGGAUCUAAUACCGUAUAAUAUAUUGAACCGCAUGGUUCAAUAGUAAAAUACGGUUUUGCUGUCACUUAUAGAUGGUUCCGCGCCUCAUUAGCUAGUUGGUAAGGUAACGGCUUACCAAGGCAACGAUGCGUAGCCGACCUGAGAGGGUGAUCGGCCACACUGGAACUGAGACACGGUCCAGACUCCUACGGGAGGCAGCAGUAGGGAAUCUUCCGCAAUGGGCGAAAGCCUGACGGAGCAACGCCGCGUGAGUGAUGAAGGUCUUCGGAUCGUAAAACUCUGUUAUUAGGGAAGAACAAAUGUGUAAGUAACUAUGCACGUCUUGACGGUACCUAAUCAGAAAGCCACGGCUAACUACGUG
rnacentral:rRNA from 1 species